CAAUGGCGCUUUUAAAUUUUUGAAAGCAAUACAUAUUUUUUUUCUUUUAUUUGCAAAAUAUGAUGUUCAAAAUAUUUAGUAAAAUUUUCAUCAUCAUGCAAGAAAAAUUAACUUUUUGUGUGAAUAUACUUUACUCAUUAUGUAUAAAAUUAAAAAAAACACCAUACUUCUUUUAUUACAAUUGUUAUUUAUUUCUUCCUGUUAAAUAAACAUCUUACAUAAAAUAUAGUCAGAACUUAUUAUAAGCGCCAAAGAGACAUAAAUAAUUUCAAUAAAUACUCGCGUGUAUAUUCUGCGAAAGGCGCAUUUAUUACGUUUGUGUAUAUACUCUAUGUGUUUGUGUGUGUAUGUACGUAGCAAGAUAGCUCUAUAUUAGCGUUAUACCUUAGUUCCUAAAUCAGCGUACGCUUAGACGUCCGUGUUACCAGCCACUGCAACUCCGUCCUCGAGGAAUAUUCAGCCAUUCCUCCUGCUUUGCCCUCAGCUUUCUCGUUGCUCUCGUUUCUCUUCGGUUGCCGGUUCUCUUCGUCUGUUGCUCUAUCCUCGAUUCGCCCAAAGUUUGGAGAGCUCGCGCUUGAGAGGAAACGCUGAACGUCACUGCAAUAUCGUCUAAUGUUCUCGAAGAAGAUGGCGGUUGUAACGUUUGAUACGUUCCCCACGUACAUGGAAUAGACAUGAUUUUCCUUUUGAUGACGGUUGGCUAAAUUGAAACUGAACAUCAGCCGCGCUCAACGGGAAAGAUCGGAAAGAUUUCCUUUAAUUUUCUAAUUUUCGAAUUAUAUAUGCUCAAGCCAACACUGAUUUUCAGCCAAAUAGUAAUUAACCGACGCUUGGUUUACUCGAAUCCUUGUAAUUUGUACCAGGAAACAUCAAAGCAUCGAUCAACUAUCUUUCAUCAUAUAUUUACUUAUCGAUAUUAGUUUGCACAAAACUUUACCGAAAAUUUCCACUAACAAACUUUUGCAUUUAGAUUAUAAUACAGACGAUAUGUGAUCAUUAUUUUGAAAAAUAUUAUUACAACAGAAUUUUGCAUACAAGAUUAAAUUUUACGUAAGAAUACAUUAUUAAAGAAAGUGAUAAAUAUUUGAUUCGUAAUAUAUCCUCGAUAAAAUUUAAAGCGUGCAAAUAUCCUCGACAAUAGUAGUGCAAAAUUAAAAUUAAUAUCGCAUAGAUUUAAAUUAUACAAGAACGUUAUAAACGAAAUAUUAAUGGAAACAAAAGUAAAAAUCAAUAAAAAGUAAAUAAAAAAAAAAUGAACAAGUUCACGAUCUUAAUAUUUUUUUUCUUCAUCUUACUAAAAAUUCCACGAGCAAAAAUCCCAUUUACGACUCAACAUAUAUUAAAUAUUAAACUUAAAGCAACACAAUUACAAUUUCCCGCAACUUAAACAUUUUACUCGUGCACGCGUUUCCCACGCGAAAGUUAUUUCAUUUGAUACGCGAAACUUCAAUAUCAGUGAACAGCAGUAACGCGGGCAAGUUGAAUCGUGUAGAUUCAACCGUGAAAGCUCUCCUCUUCGUUCUUACUGGCAUCUAACUUAUAUACGCGGGCAACUGGAAUAAGCCAGCCUUGAGCCUACAGAUCCGGCAGACCGUAACGACGGCACAGUGUCUCAGAGCGGAGGCGCAAGACAAACGACGUUGUUUUCAGGGAGAUACCGAAAACACCGGGAGAAGCGGUUCCUAGUAGUUAAUUAGCUGAAUAAUGCAGCGUUAAUCUAGUCAAAAUUGCAUGCAUCCAGACCACGCACGUAGUUUCGUUCUGGCAAACUCACUGGGAGGGGGAGGGGGGGCUUCGCUGUUCGCACGCCAAAGUACACGUAUGCACGUGUGCGAAUGCACACCGACAGGUUGAGGGGGAUGAGGGAGGGAGGAAAGGACGAGUACACCAAGUUGGAUUCGCUCUGGCCGGGUGCGAACAGCAUCUUCCGGUGUAUUGAAUAUUUUAAGGAUACCAUUUGCCGGCUAUCUCGCCGGUUGUUUCAAGACACAACCGGCUCGAUACAUCAACCCCUACCCCCUCUACCUAUCUCACCUCCCCUCCGUUCGGGAUACAAUAUUUUGCUGUAGUUUGCAUAGUCUUCAUUAUUCAAGUUCGGAGAUUAGUGGACCGUUACCAGCAGGUGUUUGCCAGCUUUUGCAUGCCGUGGUUAGUCUCUCGUUGUUGGAACGAAGUUUAAGGGAAUUCGUGUUGUAACGUUGAAGACGUGUUGGAGAGUUGUUAUUUUUUUAUUAUAUGUUUCGUUAGUUUCCGGAUUCGGUUUAGAUAUCGAUAGGUUUGCACAGUUUCGUGCAAGUGUAUGAGUGUAUAAAUAGUUUCAUCUUGUAACGUUUAUUUUAUAUUUAUUAUAAUUUAUAUUUUUCGAAACAAAAUAUCAAGAAAUAUACAAGGAAUAUUAGAAAUCUUCAAAGAAAAAUGUAAAUUUGUAGAAAAUUGUUUUAAAUGAAAGUUAAGUUAUAAAUACUUUUUUAUUAAAAAAUGUAAUACAUAUAUAUAAAUAUAUGUACAUAUGAUAUGUACAAAUAGAAUAAUUCUUAAAUUAAAUUCAAUCUUUUGUCAUUAAUUUAAUUUUGUAUACAAAAUAAGAUUCUAUGUGACGAUAAAAAUUGUAUAUCAAUAAUAAUCUUUUUGUAAUUAAAAAUAAUUUUCUAAUUAAAAAUAAAUAGAUAUUGUAGUUUGAUGGGAAAUAGAGGGAGGUCAGGGGUUCUAUGCAAUCUCCUUUAUUCCAUAGUCUCGAAAUUCGUGGUAGGAGUAAAGCAGCUGCACUGUGAUCGAAAGUAAUUAUAUUAAUUGCAUUGCACAUCCCCGCUGUUGCAUGAGGUAUUGGUUCAUCGCCUCAUCGGUUAACGCGCUUUCGUGUGCGUGUACCACCCACAAUAUUUGUGUGUCGAGGCUUGCGUGUCGGGCAAGUGUCGAAGGAAGCUAAGUGCGCAAUUAAAUGUUAACGAAUUAACGUCUGCUCGAGACGUCGUUGGGGAGAAAUGACUUGUUAAAUAAAUGCGUCCUCUCUCCUCGAGUGAAAUUCGAAGACUGAAAGCAAAACAAAUUUAUACGAAUCGAGUCAACGAAAUGAAUUAACCUUUUCGAAAUUAAUAUACAUUUAGAAAUAAUAGGACGUUACGUUUCAAAACAAAUUUUACGUGAAUUUUAAAAUUGAUUUAUCGAGACGGUAUUAAAAGUGAGAUUAUUAAUUUUAUUUUCAAAUUCAGACUUAAUUUAUUUUUAAUUAAUUGUUUAUUAUAUUUCGUGUUUUAUUACAAUAUUUAUAAUUUAUUAUUACAUUUAUUUAUUGCAAAAGAUUUAAACAAUUUUUGAAUAAUUUAUUAUUUAUUAUCUUUAUUGUAAUUUGUUGAUGACAUUAUUGAUUAUUGCAUUAUUGAUUAAAAAUUUUAAAAAAUAUAUAGCGUAUGAUAUUUUAAUAUAUUUCUAAAAUUAUUCGAUUGAUAAUUCGUACGUAUUUAUUUCUUAGAAAAAGUUUUGUUUAAAAUGUUUUUAUAAAAUUUUAAUUUUUAUUAAUUAUUAAAAAAAAAAUUUCUCUCGAUAUUUCUAUAUUGUUCAUUUAACAUUUUGUUUCUCCAUAAUUGGUAUAGGAGUUUCUCCCACGUUCCCGAUGCUCCGUACGAUAUUGCAGUAUUUCGAUUCGCAAACAAUAGGAAGGGAAACCGUGACCAAAGAGAACACGAAUCCACGCACGGAUCUCAAUGUUGGCUACCACACAGGCAACGCCCGUCAUUUCCUUAUAAUUACUCUAUUUCCUCCUGCGCCUAUAGUUAUGUCGUAGCAGCCAGUAGGGCGGAAUCGAUGGUAGAAAACGGCAGAUAUUGGAACGCAACGUACGAUCGUGUGGGCGAAACCCGUAGGAGGGGCACGGCUCGUUCGUUUCAAGAUAUCGAGGAAAUGAAUGGGAUUGGCUGCUGGGCAAAAUUGCACUCUGAUAAUUACCUAUUAGCUGCACUGUCCCUGGCAUCGUUCUCUAUCCUGAAGAACAAUGCCUGUCAUCCAAUCGUGCGAAUAAUCACCGAGAUCUUUCGUCCAAUGGAUAAGACCUGAUUCCAAAUACUUACUAGAUAUUCAUACAUGUAGAUAUUUUACAUGAGAUAACGUAAUUGCUUAGAACGUGCAUAAGAUAAUCCGAGGUAAUAUAGAUUCGAUAUAAGAUUCGUUUUAAACGAUUAUCGUAAAAUUAUUACUUAUUAAUUUAUGUUUAGAAAUUAUAUACAAUUUUUCAUUUAAACGAAAUAAAUAUCGUUUCAUAUAUUCAUUUACAAAAUAUCUAUAAAUCGAUAUCAAAGAACAAUUUCUUCUCGAUUAUAUUUUAAAUUCUAACUUCAAUAACAAUUUCUCCUUUAAUCAAAUAAAUCAAACUGUUUCUUGUAAUUGACACAGAAAUUUACCUCCGUGUCUAGCAUAAAAAUUAUCGUAUAUACACCUAAUAACUUCUCUUCGUAUGCCAAAAAUUCGAUCGUCCGAAAGAUACAUCAUUGCGACAAAAUAAAUGGUCACGACCGAUUCAAAAAUCUCUGGAAAAUCUCUCUCUCUCUCUCUCUACCCAUUUUCUCUCUCUACUCCAUUUGCAAAGAGUAACGGAGAACUGGGUCGUGGACAGCGAGCCAUCCUUUCCUCCUUUCCAUCUUCCAUCCCGUGCGAUGGAGAUUCCGGUCGGUGGUCGAUGUUUAUGCGGCCCAUCGGUGGGAUGAGUGUGUGCAGCAACAGGGUUAGUUGGCGGCCGUUCGAGCCCGAGUCUUUCCAGAUAGAGAGACGUCUCUCUGAGGAGAGACUGGAAAGCCGCGAUCCCUGGUGCGGACCGGUCGAAAUGCCUGGGGGUUGAUUGAUUAGAGGGUACGUACGAGAGAGAGGCCGAGUCGAGGCAGAGUUAUACGGUGCGGGUUAGUUCGGCAGGGAGCGUAGGUUAUUUGGGGGCGGUGUGGAAACGCGGCGUUGGUUCGAGCCGGUUGGGCGAGGAGAGGGCGAGGGGAGGAGGGCGAGGAGGAAAAGUAGGUGGAGGAAACUGGUGGGCACCCCAGGGGGAGGAGGUCAGAGGAGAGGAAGAGAAGGAAGGAAGGCUGGAGGCGGUAGUUCGAGGUGCUACAGUUUAUAAUAGUUGCCACCGCCCUCGGGCCAACCGACCCUGUCCGCAACUUUCACAGAGUUGCUUAAACCUAACCUCCCCUCGGCCGCUGGACGAUCAAGUCUCGUCCACCCACGAUCCCAAAGAAUCGAGGUUAUUCGAGUUGCUUGCUGCUAACUCGUCCCCCAUUUGCGAAGAUCCGUUUCGAUUGUUCGGAUGGGUUUCUUGUUUGCCCAGGUACGGCCGCGGAUGGGGGUGUCUUCGCGCGAUAUUGGGGGCGCAAGUGUUUGGUUACAGCCAAUAGCAUAGCGGCCGGGCCGGGCACGUGUGCCGUAGAUUAGUUUGUAGUUCGUGGUCGAAGAAAAAGCGGAGUUAUUAGCUGCGGUUAAGGGUCACCUGGCGGAAAGAUGACGAGGUCAGGUGGGCGAGGGUCUGACUCUUGUUUCUCCACUUUAACGUCUGUUUUUGAUCCUUGUUCUUUUGUGCUGUUAAUAGGUAGAUGGGAAUUUUCUUGGUUUUUAUUGGAGGAGGAUUGAUGAGAUGAGUUUAUUACACGUAAUUCUUUUAGCUAUUAUAUAAAAAUAGUAUUUGUACGAAUUUAUUAAAAUUCAGAAUAUUGUUGUAUAAUUCAUGUUUCAAGAUUUUGCACAUUAUUUUAUUUUAUUCUUUUAUAUUUUUGUACAUGAAUGAAUUUUCAUACAAAUAUUUGAAAUAAGACAUUUAAAUAUUUAAUAAACGAGAAACAAAUUCAUUUACGUUAUCUGCUUUUUAAAACGUUAAUAUUAUUCAGAAAUAAUAUACAUAUAUAUUUAUUAGAUAGAUAUUUGAAAAAGAAUAUAUUAUUUCUCAAUAAAUAAUUUUUCAAUAAUUUUGUGGUAGUUUUCAAUCGAUUUUCUUCUUUAAGAUAAACCCACUCAAGUUGAUCGUUUGCUUCUUCUUCUUCUUUGCGAUACAAUUACGGCGAAAGAAGCAAUUUAUAUGUUCGCAUACUCGAAGCUGUAUACCGUGCAGUUUCUCGGUCCCGUGACAGCGGCCUCCGUUAUAAUUCUCCGUUAUCUAUGGAAAUUCUAAACCGUACUAAACAACAAUAUAUAUCCCAAAACUAUGUAAUUCUCCGUACGUGUAUACACAAUAUGCAAUAUGCGCUAGCAAGAGCUGCGAUCUCGUUCGCUUUCUUUUCCUCAUUUCGCUUCUUUUCGAUUUGUCGAUGAUUAAUUUUUUUUUCCCUUAUGAAAUAUAAUUUUUUCCACCGCAAUUUCUCAAUGACACUUUUUAAUUUUCGUAUAUUUUUAUAUCAAUUGUAAGAAUAGAAUACGUAAGUUAAUUAUCGAUGAAAAUUUAAAUCUAGAUUAUUUUUCUUAUUAUCGGUGAAGAUUUCGUUUUAUAAAAGAAAAGAAAACUCCUAGAAAAUCCCAUCUCCUAAAAUAUUCUCACCGUUCUUUCAUGGACUACUUUCGCGAAAUCUUCCCGUCCAUUAAGGUUAUCAAUUUUCCAAGUCGGUUUCCUUCAAACGGUCGAAAGAUUCAUCGUGGAUUUCUAUUUAUGCUGGAACGAUGACGUUAUCGAAUACACGAUCUCUAAUUAAAUAGGUAUCUAGAAACGGCGCAUCGUGCAUGCGCUAAUCAGCCGUCCCGAAGAGUUUUCACGGUAACUGGAGCACGGUCGGUCGAUCCGGCGCGAAGAGGGGCAAAAGAGGCGAAGCUCGUGACUGCAGAGACAGGAAGAUGGAUCGUUGCUCAGGUCCCGCAGCAAUGUCCUUGGACGCUGUCUGUGCCUUAGGACAGCACGUAAUCAUACCAGUCCGCUAUUACUUCCUAUAACGCUAUCUACGCCAGGAAACGCCAUUGCUCGCUCGUUCCUACGUAGGUACGUGGUCCAGGGACGCCGAGGAUGAUGAGAUCUGCAGGCUUGCAUCCUGAUGAGACUAUUAGGAUGGCUUGAUAAGUCCAUAAUAUUCUGGUCGAUGCCGGGCAGCGCCGUCGAGUCCACCCGGUGUCCUCGCCAAACCGCUGCACUCUCCCCCCCCAAACUCCUGACAGCCCUGUACCACCGACACCCCACACUACAACCCUCCCCCACCCCUCACCUUUGAACCCCUCCUCCUUCUCCACCCCUUUUACGCGGAGAUAUAUACGUGGACUACCUUCGGUCAGAUUGACGACGAGAUAACUGAUGUUUCCCAUCGACUUUGUUAACCUCAAACUCCGAUCAUUCCUCGACCCAGGAAUCGUAGCUUUUGGUCGAUGAAGGAUUUUCCGCCAGAUUUCACGCCAAUCGUUCCUUUGCUCCGAUUCCACCUUAACCCCUGUGACAUUCUACCUCUGCACACGUUCUAUUUGUGGUCCUUUGAGCUUUGGGGGAUCAAUGUAUCUUGUUAACGAUACGUGUUUUUUUCUUUUUUCUUUUUCAUCGUUCUCGCAUCGACGAUCUCUAAUAAUCUCUGAGGUCGAGGUAUUUUCCCAGCGAGGCGAAAAUAGGUGACUGAGAAAUUUGGAAGAGAAAUUGGUAUCUCUUGCCUGAGUGAAGCAUUUUUAAAAUUUGUUUAACAAUGAUAAUAGGAGAUAAUUCGUUUUAUCGAUGGUUUUCUCAUAUUAUUAAGCUUUGUCUUUUUUUUCAUCUAUAUUAAAUUUGUAUAUGUCAAAUUAUUCGUUUAUUAAAUAAUUUCGAAUUUAUCCAAGAAAUAAUGGUAACUAUUUUUAAUGAAAAAUUGUCUUUUUGAAUUUUUAGAUUAAUAAGUUAAUACUCUUCUAGUAUGAAUAAAUAAGUAUACUUAAAAAUUCCUUGGGUGAUGUUCUCGAUGAAGUACGAUCUUUCAAGAUGUAUACGAUCUUUCCAAUAAGGAUGAAACUUGAGGAACUCUCUGUCGGACUCUCUGUUCUAUCCGUUGCGGACGAAUGGUCUGUGUCACCCUCUCGAAGCGGUUGGAAAUUAACUUUGAGUAUUACAGAUGUCGAGGCGCACCGCGGCGAGAAGCUAGCACCUUGUUAGUCUGACAAAUUCGGUCCGCUUCCCCUUCCUUCUGUCCUCCACUUUGCCGUAUAAGCAGUUAGUUCCAUCCGCGGAGAAACACCGAGCCGAUUACUUACGGGACUAUCUAUUUGUAAAUUAUAUUUUCCUUCUUUGAUACAAGCACAGGGAUCUUUGCUUGAUCCGUUUAAACGAAGUCCUUAUCUUGUCCUGUACAAAUUCUGCUCCACGCUGAGUAAAUUAGUUGGCAGCUUGAUUAAAUGUAAACUCGACUUAAUAUACUCUUUCUCCUCCUCCUUUUUUUCCUCGUUUCGCGUUAAACGCGAAGGGGAAAGUAAUUUUAAAAAGAGUUUAAUCUAAAAGAAUGUAUUAAAUGCUUUUUCAUAAUUUAAUAUAAUAUAUACUCGGUUUUUAAUUCUCGGGAUUAAUAUAAUUUUAUUGAGUUAAAAAAGGAUAAAACUAAGAGUAGAAUAUAACAGAACUUUCUUUUACUACAAAAAUUAGAUUUAUAAAGAUGUAUUAUAUCACUAUAAAGUUUUCAAUUUUCUUAAUGAAUUCGUUUCAAUACAUUCCAUGCUGAAUUUGUCUUGAGAUAAAGAAAAGAAAAAAGAAAUAUUUCAAUCUCAACUCUCCAUGAUCAACGAACGAUUAUUCGUUAAUUCAAACAUGUAGGGAUCAUCCCCUCGAAGGAAAAAUCCCCUAAUUUAUUCGAAUUGAUGCGUUGGAGGUAGGUGUCGGAAUGCCACAGGCAGCUGGUGUCCCGGCCGCCCGUUCGAAAUUGGCGAGAAUGGAAUCUCGAGCAGUUCCAGAAGUCACCAUCCUUGCGAAGGGUGUCGAUGGUUGGCGGGACGGUGUUUGCUCGCUUAAUCGGCCGACCCAGGGCGCCACCCCCUCCCACAGCCUAUCCCUUUCCUUCCACGCUUUCCUGUCACGCCGAAUGACUAUCGGAAAGUGAUAUCGAGGAUUUCCACGGGUACACUUCGGGUAUUGCACGAUUCCAUGCCACUUGCUUUGUUUCGUGCCCACCUCGAAAUCGAGCCUUUGCCACCCUGCCGCGAAAAUGGGGUGACUGAGGAGCGGGAUGAGGAACGGCCGACGACUCGAUACCCCUCACCCUCACUCUCCCCCUCCCCUCAGUGAGGGUAAUAGAAUUGCAUGGCCGAGGAGUGCCAAUAUCCGGCACGGUCUUGUCGGCGGCGUUUAAUUGCGUUAGUAUUUCAUCGCGGAACUCGACAGGAGCCGACCAGACUUUUCGAUUUCGACGUAUUUGGAUGGAUGGAUCUUUGGAUUCUGGAUGGAAUUUCUCGUUGCCAGCAGGGAUGAGGAGAUGUCGAUCUUGGAUUGUUGUAUUUUUCUUAAUUUGUUAAUAGUGAAAUAUUUAAUGGUGAAAUGUUUUGGAAAAUUAGUGGUUGGAUUGGUAUCUUUUUGGUGAGUGUAAAAUUCACGAUUUUGAUUAUAUUUAUAUAUUUUAUUGCAACAGGAUGGUUAGGUAACACGUCAUUGUUACAGGGUUUUUCAACUUGAUUUCAAAAUAUUGAGACAAGGUUUAUUUUAUCAUUAAAUUAUUUUAAUUCUAUUUUUGCUUUUUUAAAAAUGUUUAAUAUAUAUUCGAGAUGAUUUUGUAAUAAUUAAUUUUUUAGAAUAUAGCGAGAUAUAAUAUUAUAACUAAAUUUAAUAAAUAAUUCGAUCAUUUUGCAGUUAAUGUAAAAUUGUAUGAACUUUAUAUUUAUAUUUUAAUAAAAAUAUAUUUCCAACAAUUAUUAAGAUACAAAGUACAAUAGAAAUAAAUUUAUUGAAAAACUUCCAUCGACGUUUAAAUAUACAUAUAUAUCCAAGCGAUCGCAACGCUUGAUUCACGUUCAUCUUAUUCGAUCGGAAAAUCAAGUUACGUUAGGCGAGAUUCAAGGCUGUGCAGAAAGCAUCAGCCGAGGGUUACAAUCCAGAGAAAAUGAUGUGAAAGCUUAUGAAAUGGCGGUCUAGUCUGUCGAGAUACCGAUGUACACUGUGUUCCCAGCUAGCGUAGAGAUAAUAAUAACCAGGGGGUAGUAACAGUCGGAGGUUUAUCUUCUCAGAACCAUAAAACUAACCCGUUCUCUACACUUGAUGACCAGCGUACUGUAGAUGCUCAAGUCUACAGCUUGUUUCAAAUCUCGUACAGAAUUCUCUCUUUUCUAAUAAUAGAAAAUAGAGAGAUCUUUAAUGUUAUUCCGAUUACCGCGCUUUUACGCGUUGCAAUUGCCUUGCAAUCUGUUGAAGAUUUUAAUUCUCAUGAAGGAAAACCCAGAUGUUAAAUGGUAAAAUGUUAGAUGAUGAUAUAUAAAGUAAGUAUUUGAGGUAAGGAUUUAAUUUUUUUAAGUGAUUCGCUUGAAAUUUGUAUGUAUAUAAUGAUGAUUCGAUCCUUUAUUAUUCGAAUAAUUUGUUUGAAAAAUAUAAUUUUAGAAAUUUCAAUAUGUAUGUUUAAGUUAUACUGCUACGUUAAAUUAGUUGUUAUUAAUUUGUAAUUAAUUAUUGUUAUAUUAUUAAUUUGCAUAAAUUAAAUUAAAUUCAUAUUUAUGUAAGAAAAUAACGUUUUACAUUUAUUAUCGUAGAAUGUUCAAUAUACAAUAUGUAUCUAUAUGUUUCGUGUUAUGAAAACAUGUCUCGGCAGAGAGCAAAGUUAUAACGUAGUUAACUAUGAAAUUAAACGGAUGAUAUGUUUAGAAGUUGAAAAACACAUCUGUUAUGUUAUAAUUAUAAUAUAUUAAUGAAAUAUAAUUAUGUAAUAUAAAAUUAUUGGAUUGUAAUUAAAAUUUUAAUUUUUAACUCGUCCAAUGUAUUAUUUCAUUCUUCGCAUCAAAAUUAUUUUAUUCUCAUAAAACGUUAAAAUUCUUCUUCGUUUCCUAAAAAUUUCCAAAAAUGUUCAUUUCACUUGUCAUUUCACUUGUUGAUCAAAUUAUAAAAAAAUAUAUUCUUUUACACAAAAUUGAUAUUAAACAAUCAUAAUAUUAUUACAUUUAUGAUUACAUUUAAAUACAGUUGAGGAUACUUAUGUAUAACAGAUUGGAUCGAUUGAUUCUAAAACCGACAAUAAGACGUUCAACAAGACAGGGUUCUAUUCCUAUUGUCAAUGAUGACUGGCGAACCUUAGACAAGGUAUCGAGUAUCCUUUCGAGGCAGGUUGAUAUUUCAGGGGUGCGUGUACAGGGCGAUCGUAAAUUGUAAAAUCUAUCAAGACCAACGCGGUCGACAUAACUCAGGGGGUUGCUAUCCUAGUGGUAUGAAGCAUGGCGGCCAGACUCGGCAUAAAUACCCGGUAGCAGAACAGAGCAGGAGCAGAGAGCAAGCCCAGACCCGUUGUGGCGUGGCAACAUCAUCUAUCUCGAAUAAUUUAUUAUCGCGCGACUACCGCAUCCUCGAAAUCCGGACAAGAACGCAACUAUAGGAACUGCGAACCGGAAACGAGUGUCGUGCAUCGGGAUCCUGGACGCGGCUGGCUUCGAGAUCCACGAGAUCCCUGUGGAAAACCUUGACGGAUUCUCUUGGAUGUUCUAUUAUCAACCAAGUGUUCCAUUAUUGUGAAUAAGAUGUUUCAAAGAGAUUAUUGUCAGGUAGAAGAAAAGGAAAAUUUGAAAGGAAGAAUUUGAGAAUUUGUUGAGAAUUAUUAUUUUAAUUCAAUGCAAGACUUAAUUGUUUUGUAUCUUAAAAUUAAUAUUUGUAUUUUACAAUUAUUAGUUCGAGUUAUAUCUAUGAAAUUAAAUUUAUUAAUUUGCUUGAUAUAUGUUUUUUAUAAAGAUGAUGUUUAGGUUUUUAGUAAAGGAUUUAAAUAAUAAAGAAAUAUUAUACAAUUAUGUAUAUAUUUAUAUAUUUAUAAAUUAUGGCGAAAAAGAAGGGAAGAAAUUUUAUAGAUUUCUCGAAACCGUAUAAUAAUAUCUUUGUACUGUUUGUCCUUUUUUUGUCUUUGUUGCAUAAAUGAAGAAUAUUUGUAAAUAUUAGAAUUAUAUAAACAUAUAAACAAAAUGUAAUUUGCACAAUGAAAAAGUUCAAUUAUAAUUUAAGAUUAAUCUACCUCUUAGAAUUUAAAUUAUCCAUAAAUUGAAAAAUACUUAUUUUGAUCAGGUAUAUUUAAUAAUUCAAGAGAUUAUCAGGUCCUUCUUCCUCUUUCCCUCUCUUCCUCUGUUUAAGCCAUGAAAUUGGGUAUUAAACGGUGUUAGGAACCGAACAAGACCGAAAUUUAGUAGGAUUAUAACCGACGCGAAAGAUUGUGCAAUAGCUUGGCCAGAGGAGCAUCGGGAUUUCGAGACGUUCAUCGAAUGUAAAUUAAUGGCAAAGGUCGUAGAGUUUCACGUGUAAGUAAAGAGGCCAUUGAUAGUGCAUCGAAACUCAAUUUCAUGAAUGUAGAUAAAAAAGAAAAAUUAUAUUUUAUUUAAAAAACUUUGGAAUAUUAAAUAAAGGAGAUAAGAUAUUGUACAAUUUUUGUACGAGAUAUUAAAAUUUAUGUAAA